rnacentral:lncRNA from 1 species
AUGAGAAUGGCAAGAACAGACCUCCGUGUUUUGCCAGCGGAUUGCACAUGUCACAAUAAUCUUUGUAGCACUGGAUGUUCUGCACAGAAUGGAAACUGCUUUCCCACUGGGAACAUUAUCAAUCCAUUUCAGAGGGAGCUGUUACACGUGGGAAGUGAGGAAAUGCUCUUUUCUACCAUGAAAAGAAAGACUGUUUUCAACUCUUGUCUUCCGGAUUGUCUUCCCACUGGAGACCUAAACUACCACCAUCAUUCAGAAGGGCUGCUUCCCUAUAACUCCUCGGGUUUGAGGGAGAACCAGACUCUUCCCUAAUACUCCGGUGAUUCGUUGAAAUGGACCGGAAUGCUGAGCAACUUAACCGAGGGCUUAGGAAAAGCAGAGAGGAAUUAUACUUAAAAAGGAACUUAAAACUAGGUAUUAGAUUGGGCGGCUCUCGCCCUGGUCUUUCUCAGUGAGUCCCUUCCUUGCCAAGACUUCCCUGUCCAGGAACUGCUGCCCCCUUGUGGCAAACACUCCCUCAGCUGUUCAGACCCCAGUCUGUUUUCUCUGACGUUCCGCAUUUUCUGCCCCAGGUGCUACCUUUUCCCUAGAUGAUGAUGUUGAUGAUGAUGAUUUUUUGUCAUUUUAGGGCUGCAUCCCAGGCUAGGGGUUGAAUCAGAGCUGUAGCCACUGGCCUACGCCACAGCCACAGUAACGCCAGAUCCGAGCCACGUCUGCGACCUAUACCACAGCUCAUAGCAAUGCAGAUCCUUAACCCACUGAGCAAGGCCAAGGAUUGAACCCGCAUCCUCAUGGGUCCUAGUCUGGUUUGUUAACCGCUGUACCACGAUGGGAACUCUUCCCUAAGAUUGUUAACAGGAGGAAUAUUUGCUCCCUUAAGGGACUGCCCCAUAUUCAAGUCUUUUCUAGUUGAGGCAUCAGAUCACAAUUGUCCAACACCUGUAAAAGCAAAGCAUGGGUAGCCCCAGGGCGAUUGUCUCCUUACACUUCCUGCUAUUACUUAUAAAGGAUAAGAGAACCCAGGAGGAGAGCAUGACUUAGUUUAAAAAAUAUGCUUGCCAGUGGGCAGAACUGUAGGCACCGUGACACACUGGCACUUAUGGUAGGGGCAGAAUUUACACUUGCACAGAUUCGCACCAACUCUAAACAGGAGACGAUGGUUUGGAAAGGACAGACAGACCAGCCCAGCUGGAAGGAAGUACAGCUUUCAGGCUCACCUUAUAUAGACCGUGUGGCUUACAGUGACAGACAGUCUGCAUCACCAUGAGGAUCCGGGACUCGUGAGUCAAAGGAGAGAUGACUGAUGUCAUUUAUUUUCUAACUACUGAGGGAUCACUGUUCUGCUCUGAAGAUGAAUCGGAGAGGGUCUCUAGCAGCCCAUGGUCUAGAGGAGCAGGCUGGCUUGUAAACACAUCAUCAUAGAACCAUGGGGUUCAUGUUAUAAUGGAGAAGUGAUUAAAGCACCGGAGGUAGGAUUUCUCUUGUGGUGCAGCGGGUUAGGGAUCGGCAUUGUCACUGCUGCGGCUCAGUUCGAUCCCCGGCCCGGGAACGUCCACAUGCCACGGAAGUACCAGAGGUAAAGUAUGGGCACAAAACGUACCAGCAGUGGAGCCAGGGGACAGAUGUUAGUGGCUGGUGGCAACUGAGGCAGGUUCCUAGAGACGCCUCCAUCAUCCCUGAGAGAGAAGAGAAUGACUUACCCCCAUUCCUUGCUUCACCCGCUGCCCCAGUUCCAGUGGUCCCUCUCUUGUCCAGCCAGACUCCAAGAGUGGCCCCCAGCCUUGGGGCCAUUCUAAUUGAUUAAUUCUCCUUUUAAAAUUCCACCAAUAUCUUUACCCCAAAGAAGCCUAGGGUUUCAGCAAAAAUUCUGUGCUCACUGUCCAAAUGCAGCUCAAGGGCAAUCUUCUGCCUCCUCCCCACAAAGCUGCCCUCUAGUCCCUCCUUAGUGGGGGCUUCCUACAAGGUGCCCCCCUACUGUGGACUCCUUCUGAAGUCUCUGCUGUACAAAGUCAAGUCCUUUCCCCUUUAUUCAUGGCAGGCAAGUUAGAAGGCUUCAAAUGGAAACACAUGCAAGAAAAGAAAGAGAAGAAAAAUAGUCACCCACAGAGCGGAGAAUUCAGAUAAUGGACUCUCAACUCCACCUUCAUUUCUGGUUCCCCUGCUUGGAUAUGUGGGCCCUGGGGGUGUCUGAUGCUCUGUGA